UCCGUAGGUGAGUAAUCGAAAUCCUUCUCUUCAAACCACUUUGUAUCUUACUAACUUUCUAAAGGUGAACCUGCGGAGGGAUCAUUA
rnacentral:rRNA from 1 species